UGGUAUCAGUUACAUCUUGUCUAAAUAAAUUCAAAAUACUCAUGUUUGUUUAACCUCAUGUAAAUGCUGAUAGCGACUUAGUCCUUCCACCUGGGCUAAGUAGAUACUGAGGUAUUGAUCUUCUUCAAUAACUUUUCCAAAUUCACAAGAGAUAAAAAUUUUGUUUCUUUUCAGCACUUUGGUUUCUUUCUUUCUUUCUUUCUUUCUUUCUUUCUUUCUUUCUUUCUUUCUUUCUUUCUUUCUUUCUUUCUUUCUUUUUUGUUUCAGACUCUUCGAUAAUAGCUGUUUCCUAGGACUGCUCAUAAACAGAAGAAGAAAUGUAGCUGAGGUCUCAGGAACAGCAAACAAUUGUGGAAAAUCAUGAGCAUCAACUACUACAUCUUCAAAAACUGAGCAAAUCUGAAGAACUACAAUAUAUGUUUCUAUGUAUCAGGACAAGGACAGCCUGGUUCUGACUGUGCAAAGCUGCGGCUUUGCCUCCAGUGGAUGCCUUUGGAGCAGCAGAUCUGACUUCCUCCUCCAACCAAGGAGUCCUAAAAACAUCCAAGCAAAGGAAGCAUAUUUUCCCCAUGACAUGAGAAAGGGCCACAGAGAUCUAAAUGAAAACGGACAUUUCACCCGAGUGACUGUUUGUAUCUCACCUUGGCUGUGUGCCUAAUUCAACAGGCACUUAGGUGGCUGAAGAGGGAAUUUUUCGUUACCAUGAAUCCAGCCCCGGGUUGGACAGAGAGCCUUUUGACAGCAGGCCGAGUUCCUUGUGCUCGCUGGCAAAAUGACCACAUUUCUCUUCCAGUUGUUGUAGGGGUUUGAAAAAAUCCCUCACUUCCUGGCAAAAGUUUUCUUUCUCCAGGAGAUAAAGGCAAGGCUUCUUCCGCCUACCCAUAGAAUACUUCUAUCACCUCAGAAACAGUUUUCAGCAAGGCAGGGUUGCUUGAACACUCAUGUUAGCUCUCCACGGACUCUCGACAGCUGGCUGAUGACCAAAGAGUCUCAGGGAAGUACUCCCUUCUCUGAUUGUCCAUGUCAGUGGGAGUCUGCGGGCUGUCAUCAGAAAGUUCAUCUUACAUGUAUGACUAUGGGGCCUGUGUGUGUUCAAAUAUAUAUGUCUGAGGUAUGGGCAGAGUGCCUAGUUUGAAGCUUUUAUGCAUACUCAAGAACCAUGACUGAGAAGGCCAGAGCAGAAUGAAGGUAACACUCACUCUUUUGUUGCUCCCUAGGAAGUACCAUGACUUCUUUGGUGAUGGGAGUCUAGUGUAGCAAUAUAGACAUACCACUGCCUUAUUCAGAAAUAGACAACACAACUUACCCUGGUGGCAAAAUGAAUCAACACAAUCCUUCUCAGUGACAUUUUAGCAAAGUAAGUUGAGAACUUUAAAAUGCCAUAUCUCUACUUUGGAAUUGUUUUUAAGUUUAAACAACACAAAAUACAGUGUAGACACUGUAGUUUAAAAUAGGAUGUCCUGGUGAGUUUUGUUCAACUGGACACGAAUCAGAGUCAUUUGGGAAGAGCAAAACUCAGUUGAGAAAAUGCCCACAGCAGAUUGGUCUGUAGGACAUUUGUUUGGAUGGUGAUUAUUGUAGAAGGGCCCAUCCGCUUAUGGGCAGUGCUACCUCACCUGGACAGGUGGUCCUGGGAAUAUAAGAAAGCAGGCUGAGCAAGCCUUGGGGAGUAAGUGUAAGCCAUGUUCUUCUAAGGCUUCUGUUUCAGUUUCUAGCUUCAGGUAUCUGCUGCUAAUGAAGGUGCAAUACCAGAGUAGAAGCCUUGAAGGGGUCAUCAAGAGAAGCUGAGAAGUGUUAGAGCCAGUGAACUGAGCCCAGUAGAGGCUAUGUGUGAAGGUACAGUCCAGGUACAACAGAGACCCCUGCAAUUUGGAGAUGGCAGUAGCAUGGGACAAUGUUCAAACCUGCAGCAGGUGUGAAGGGUGGUUGGCCUGAGCCUAUGAGAGAAGCUGUGUGUGCUGUCCAUGGCAGAGCCAGAGUGCUGGAUCAGCAGAUCUGAGACCAAGAAGUCUGUCACUGAGGUAUCCACUGUUGGUCUUUAGCUUUGCUCUGUUUUGAAUGUAACUCUGCCCUGGUGCUUUCCUCUUGAAAUGAAAAAGUAUGUAACUUAUCUUUGAUUUUUACCUGAGCUUAUUGUGGAGAGGCUUUGAACUCUGAAAGGAAGUUUGGAUAUUUAUAAAAAUAUUCCACUUUCCUUUUUUCAGUUUUAACAUUUUAUUGGGUAAAUGGUUUUAAAGGUGAUAGCCAUAGUGUCAAAACUACUACAAUGUCUUUUCACAGACAUACCUUACAGACCCACAUAAACCUUUUCAUAUUUUUGUCCUUUUUUGUUCAUUUUUAAUAUUUUAAAGCCAUACAUGUCAUAUAAAAUGCCCACUUCCAAUAAGUUCUUCAAACUAGUAAGCAAUUCAGUGUGGAAGCGGGGAGGACCUUGUUAUAAUGAAGGGGUUUUAGAUAAAGUGAUUGAAUUUUUAAAGACUGGGGAACUAUUAGCAGUUGGAAUGUUCCUUACAUUGUGAUACUGAUACUAAUAUGAGAGGUUUGGAGAUAAAUAGAAAAGGAAAUGUAAUGUUAGUAGUAUGUUUGAGUGUCAAGUUGACAUGGGUUAAAGUGUCCUAGGUAGUUUUUUGGUAACUUGACAUUUGCUGGAGUCAUUUGAGAAAGAGGAAUGUCAACUGAAGGAAUGGUCCCAGUAAGUCACCCUGUAGGCAAGCCUGUGGGUCAUUUUAUUGAUUAGUGUUUGAUGUGGGAGGGUACUUCUUUAUGUGUUGUUCCAUGCCUAAGCAGAUGGUCCUGAGGUGUGUAAGAAGGUGGGCUGAGCACGGUAUCAGGAGAAGAUCAGUAAACAGUGUUCCUCCAUAGCGUCUGGUUCAGGCUUUGACUCCAGUUUUCUGGCUUGAAUUUCUUCCCUAACUUUGCUCAGUGAUAGAUAGGACCUGUAAGCUGAAAUUAAUUCUCUCCUCCCAGAAUUGCUUUAGUAAUGGUAUUUUAUUACAGCAAUAGAAACCACAACAAGACACAAGAGAGAAACCAGACAGGACAGAGGACCCAGAGACUUCCCAAUGCUUUCUAAACCUUCCUAUCAAGGUUAUCAUUAGUUUUUUAAUAAGUCCUAACCCAAAGCCUGAUUUGGUACAAUGGAUUGUACUGGAGUGCUAUACUUUCUUUGUCCACAUUUAGGUUGUGUAUUUGAUAUGCUCUGUAUUACGUGGCUGGCAUUUUGGGGUGGGGGUACGGUCAAACCAUUUUAGAUGGAAGUUUUGGGUAAGGAAUUCAGAAGAGUUACACCCAAUCUGUUGCCUUCCACAAAGUAGACCUUUCUGGCUUCCUUGUUGAUAAAAAGUUGUCUGUAUGUUUAUCUACAAAGUGGGCACCAGGAUCCUGACCAUGUAGGUUACUUGACCUUCUGAAUUCAAAAUAGUUGAUAUGACAUGGGCAAUAGUCUUAUACAUUUUGGGACUAUAACUGGCUGGAUCUCUUGUUUUUAAUGUGCUGCUGUUUGUGCAUCUGACUUUUAACAUGGGUUGCUGAAUUUGAAACUACUUAAUAAAAAACUGCAAGGGAAAUAAACAAAAAUGUUUUACAACACAGUGGCUCAGGGUUCCUUUAAUAGGAUAUUCUUCUGCACCCAGUGCAAAACCUUGUAAAAAUUCAAUAAAUAAUUGUUGGCUGAAUU